UGAGAAACCCUCUACACGAGGAAUUCCAAUGCAACCUUUACCUGGUAGCGAAAUAGUUCACACCUGUUAGGUCAGCAGAGGCGACCGGAAUGAGCAAAGGAAGGCUUGCCCUUGCCUUUCAUCCUCCUCCAGAGGACUUGCCUUUUCCAACCAGCGCAGAGCAAUCCAGGAGAUGUAUUCCAAGAUCUUUCCAUGUGGGCUUGUGGCUUCACCUCUCUCCGGCUGUUUUCUUACCUGUUAUGGCCUAAGCAUCUCUUUGUUAUUUUUCUGAUUUACAGGGUUGACAUGCAGGCCAAAUAAGAUGAUGGUUGGGGCGGGUAGAAGACUUUUACAAGGCAUCUUGUUUGACCUUCAUCCCUUAGAGUUAGUUACCUCUGUAAUCAUCCAUCAGGCCCCUAAAUAACAAGCUCCAAAGGCAAAAUCCUCAAAAUCUUUUCCAACAGAGUUGACUGGUAUCAACAACAAACUCGUCUGCUCCAAGGAGUAUGAACUGAGUUUUUUCUACCUUGUGACUGGGUUGUCCUUGAAAAUCAGAGAAAGCUUGGAUCACAUAUAUGUCCAUCAUCUUUUCUUCUCUUUAUGUCUGUCCUGGAGCUUGCUUGUGAUUCUUUACACCAGGCUCCUGUCAGUUCAACCAGAUUUUUUUUUUUAUGAGCCUGUUGACUUCAAGAGUGAAAGACCCUAUCAAACGUCUUUAAAGCUAGGCCUGGAGCUAACUAGCAUAGCCUCCACUCUCUUUUAUGGUUGAAAUGAAGUAAAGGAGUUGCUUCAGAUUCAAGAAGACAGAAAGUACACUUUGUUUAUUUUCCAGAACGCUGAUGCCAUGUCCUUAGAGGGGUCGUAGCUGCUGGCAAAUUUGAAGAGGGAACUUGAGGAAGCCUCAGUGCUUUAAGCUAGAGGAUGGCAGAGGUUGAAUCUGAAGUCACCAUCAGAGAGAAAGAAAGAACAGAUCACAAAAGAUGGGCAGAGUGCCCGGAACUUCAUACCUGUGUCAUCUCCUUUGUGUGAAAGGGGAAAUCCAAGACUCCAUACCUACCUGUGAUACAUCAGUGCAUCUUUGGCUUAUUGGAGCAAAGCUAAGAGAACAAUGCCGGCAUUAUUUCACAAUACGCCCUUUGAUCCAGUUUGGAACUAGUUGCCUACAGUUGUAUUUGCUUUCUUCCACUUUGUACUGCCCUAAUGGAAUGCCUGAGACUAGGUACUCAUAAGUGACAGACGUUCAUUUCUUACACUCCUGGAGGCUGGGAAGUCCAAAGUCAAGAAGUCUACAUCUAGUGAGGGUCUGUGUGCUGCUCCAUCCCAUGGCGGAAGGUAGAACCCAUGAGAAGGUCCACACAUAUGAGAGAAAGAAAGGUUCCAAACUUGGUCUUUAGUUAGGGAACCCCUCCCUGAAUGACUGACUCAUUCUGCAAUAAAGGCAUUAAUCCACUCACAAGGCAGAGUCCCAUGAACUAAUGUGCUCUUAAAGUUCUUCCAUCUUAACACAGAGGGACUGAGUCUCUCACAUUCAAAUUUCUCAAACUCAAGCAGUGCUGUUUUUCUCUUACGUCUCUAGAUAUAAUCUUAUACCUCUAGAGUUUCUUUCAAAUGUACGGGCCAGUGGUCAACGAUACAGAAGAAUACAAGGAAUCUGAUCUGGAAGUGCUGGAAAUAGCAAUCAGGACAUUUUUUCCACUCCCGACCUUGCACACUUGGGACUGGGGCAUAGAUAGCUUAGAGGGAAGGAAGGAAGAGCCCUAGAAUGGGUUAUUGUCUACUGUGUUGAAGCUGCUAUGCCGGGUCUUUACAAUGUAUCUCCAUACAUUUCCAUACCUCUACAGUGUAGGCAAAAAAAACCUGCUAUUUUAUGGAAGUGUACAGCAAACUUAGGGAAUAGAUCAAGUAAGAAAGGAAGAAUUUGAAAUCCAAAGCAUCUAGUCAGACCCCAUUAUAUAACAGGAAAAUAAACAACUCAUCUUAUCAGUGUAAGGAAAAGCUAAACAGCUGCCUAAACCAGAAUGUGACAGAAUAAUCUGAACAAAUAAAAAGACUAUUAAAAGAUGAAGUUAAUGUGAGUGAUUAAAUAAACUUGUCUGGGACUGAGGAGAUGGCUCUGUAUUUAAGAUACUUGUCAUACAGGUUUGAGGACCCGAAUUUCAGUCCCCUGAAUCCAUGUAGAGCUGAAAAUGGUAACAUGCAUGUAGAAUACCAAUGUUCCUAAAAUGAAAUAAGAGACAGGGACAGCAUCAUCUCCAGAGAGUUGCAGGCUGCUAGUCUGGCACACCUAGUGGUGAACUAUAUGGUGUAAACUGUCAAACAGAGUAGAAGAGAAGAACUAUUACCCAAGGUUAUCCUCUGAUCUCUAAAAUAUUCUGCAGCAUGCUCCCCCCCACACUCACACCCAUGAACAUGCAUAUGCUGCACAUGCUAACGCUGCGCGCACACAUUAGCACACUUGUACACAAUAAAUACGUAAAUGGAUACAUUUUCUUAAGGUGUGAAGAGCAUCUUCAUAGAUGACAUUAGUGUCUUUUGUCCAUCAAACAGUUGUGCUAUCCUUGUGUCUGGUCACAAAACAAAAACAACCACUUGAAAAAUUCUUCUCGGUAGAGAACUUUAAUGUUAUUAUUUCCUGUAAACCUGGAAACCAAAAACUAGAUGUCCAGUAAAUAAAGCAAGCAGGUUUUUGAAAAAUUUAACCAUUUUUGGGAAAAUGUGGACAUUCUUCGAUAUAAGCUUGAGAGUAGUAAUAAAUUAAAAGUAGAAAAUAAAUCUAGGAAUAAGUGGGA